rnacentral:lncRNA from 1 species
GAAAGUUCUUGGAGGUAUCAUAUUUUGUCUGAAAAAAAAAUUCAUGCAAACGUCUGCAUUCUGCUUCAUAAACUCAGUGCUUCAGGAAGCUGGGCCAUAUUUCCCCCGUGGCCUUCAGUGCCCUCUGCCCACCCCACAAGUUACACAUGGUCCAGGAUGGGAAGGAGCUCUGCUGCCGUGCAGCCUGCCUGUGGAUGGCCCCUGCACUGUCCCCUGCAUACAUUAAGGGAAGGUGGAUGACAAACUCACUCAAAGCAUACCUUUCUGUAUCCUGGAGGCAAGGAAUUCUCUUCUCAGGUGAGAGGAUUUAUCGAAUGGGAUUCAUUGUCAUUGCUUUCAAAUACCUUUUUCCUCUCCUUAUACUGAUACUCAGUUAAUUGGCUCUGCAGAUCAAAUAAUAGGUAAUUUGUGGGUACAGGGUUCCAGAGUCACUGAUAGGAGGUCAAGGUUCAACUCCAUUGCACUUUGUACAUUAGUCCCCCCUUUAUUUGCUGAGGAUAUAUUCCAAGAUCUGCUGUAGAUUCUAGAAACUGCAGUUAGUACUGGGUCUCCACCCUUCCUUCCUCAUACACACAAUGUUUUUCCAUUAAGUACAUGCACAAAUUUGAUGCCUUCUCCAUAUUAACUAAGCAUUUAGCAUGCACAGUGGUCAUAACUUUUGCAAUUUGAGAUGUGGACAGCAAAACUAGCAUGGAUUUCUUUUUCCUUCUUCCCAAUUUCAUGGAUGGAAGACCUGUUUUCACGGUAGAUCUUAGCAACCUCAGCAUACAAUUUAUUUUCUUUCCUUAAGGUAAUUAGGGAUUGGCUAGCUUCACUUAGCAUAAUCUGCUCUAAUGCCAUCCAUUUCCCUGCAAAUUCCAUGAUUUUGUCAUUUUUUAGUGCUGCGUAAUACUCCAUUGUGUAUAAAUGCCACAUUUUUUUUUUAUCCAUUCAUCUAUUGAAGGGCAUCUGGGUUGGUUCCACAGUCUAGCUAUUGUGAAUUGUGCCGCUAUGAACAUCGAUGUGGCAGUAUCCCUGUAGUACGCUCUUUUAAGGUCUUCAGGGAAUAGUUCGAGAAGGGCAAUAGCUGGGUCAAAUGGUGGUUCCAUUCCCAGCUUUCCCAGGAAUCUCCAUACUGCUUUCCAAAUUGGCCGCACCAAUUUGCAGUCCCACCAGCAAUGUACAAGAGUACCCUUUUCCCCACAUCCUCGCCAGCACUUGUUGUUGUUUGACUUCAUAAUGGCUGCCAAUCUUACUGGAGUGAGAUGGUAUCUUAGGGUGGUUUUGAUUUGCAUUUCUCUGACUGCUAGAGAUGGUGAGCAUUUUUUCAUGUACUUGUUGAUUGAUUGUAUGUCCUCCUCUGAGAAGUGUCUGUUCAGGUCCUUGGCCCAUUUGUUGAUUGGGUUAUUUGUUAUCUUAUUGUUUAAUUUUUUGAGUUCUUUGUAUACUCUGGAUAUUAGGGCUCUAUCUGAAGUGUGAGGAGUAAAAAUUUGUUCCCAUGAUGUAGGCUCCCUAUUUACCUCUCUUAUUGUUUCUCUUGCUGAGAAAAAACUUUUUAGUUUAAGUAAGUCCCAUUUGUUGAUUCUUGUUAUUAACUCUUGUGCUAUGGGUGUCCUAUUAAGGAAUUUGGAGCCCGACCCCACAAUAUGUAGAUCGGAGCCAACUUUUUCUUCUAUCAGACGCAGAGUCUCUGAUUUGAUAUCAAGCUCUUUGAUCCAUUUUGAGUUAACUUUUGUGCAUGGCGAGAGAAAGGGAUUCAGUUUCAUUUUGUUGCAUAUGGAUUUCCAGUUUUCCCAGCACCAUUUGUUGAAGAUGCUAUCCUUCCUCCAUUGCAUGCUUUUAGCCCCUUUAUCAAAUAUAAGAAAGUUGUAAUUUUGUGGGUUGGUUUCUGUGUCCUCUAUUCUGUACCAUUGGUCCACCCGCCUGUUUUGGUACCAGUACCAUGCUGUUUUUGUUACUAUUGCUCUGUAAUAUAGUUUGAAAUCUGGUAUCGCUAUACUGCCUGAUUCACACUUCCUGCUUAGAAUUGCUUUUGCUAUUCUGGGUCUUUUGUUUUUCCAUAUGAAUUUCAUGAUUGCUUUAUCUAUUUCUACAAGAAAUGCCGUUGGGAUUUUGAUUGGCAUUGCAUUAAACCUAUAGAGAACUUUUGGUAAUAUCGCCAUUUUGAUGAUGUUAGUUCUGCCUAUCCAUGAACAGGGUAUAUUUUUCCAUCUUCUAAGAUCUUCUUCUACUUCUCUUUUUAGGGUUUUGUAGUUUUCAUUAAGAACUCAAAAAAUUAAACAAUAAGAAAACAAAUAACCCAAUCAACAAAUGGGCCAAAGACCUGAACAGACACUUCUCAGAGGAGGACAUACAAUCAAUCAACAAGUACAUGAAAAAAUGCUCACCAUCUCUAGCAGUCAGAGAAAUGCAAAUCAAAACCACCCUAAGAUACCAUCUCACUCCAGUAAGAUUGGCAGCCAUUAUGAAGUCAAACAACAACAAGUGCUGGCGAGGAUGUGGGGAAAAGGGUACUCUUGUACAUUGCUGGUGGGACUGCAAAUUGGUGCGGCCAAUUUGGAAAGCAGUAUGGAGAUUCCUGGGAAAGCUGGGAAUGGAACCACCAUUUGACCCAGCUAUUGCCCUUCUUGGACUUUUCCCUGAAGACCUUAAAAGAGCGUACUACAGGGAUACUGCUACAUCGAUGUUCAUAGCAGCACAAUUCACAAUAGCUAGACUGUGGAACCAACCCAGAUGCCCUUCAAUAGAUGAAUGGAUAAAAAAAAAUGUGGCAUUUAUACACCAUGGAGUAUUACGCAGCACUAAAAAAUGACAAAAUCAUAGAAUUUGCAGGGAAAUGGAUGGCACUAGAGCAGAUUAUGCUUAGUGAAGCUAGCCAAUCCCUAAAAAACAAAUGCCAAAUGUCUUCUUUGAUAUAAUGAGAGCAACUAAGAACAGAGCAGGGAGGAAGAGCAGGAAGAAAAGAUUAACAUUAAACAGAUACAUGAGGUGGGAUGGAAAGGGAGAGAAAAGGGAAAUUGCAUGGUAAUGGAGGGAGACCCUCAUUGUUAUACAAAAUUACAUAUAAGAGGUUGUGAGGGGAAUGGGAAAAUAAACAAGGAGAGAUAUGAAUUACAGUGGAUGGGGUAGAGAGAGAAGAUGGGAGGGGAGGGAGGGGGGAUGGUAGAGGAUAGGAAAGGUAGCAGAAUACAACAGUUACUAAUAGGGCAUUAUGUAAAAAUGUGGAUGUGUAACCGAUGUGAUUCUGCAAUCUGUAUUUGGGGUAAAAUUGGGAGUUCAUAACCAACUUGAAUCUAAUGUAUGAAAUAUGAUAUGUCAAGAGCUUUAUAAUGUUUUGAACAACCAAUAAAAAAAAUUAAAAAAAAAAAAAAAAAAAAAAAAAAAAAAANNNNNNNNNNNNNNNNNNNNNNNNNNNNNNNNNNNNNNNNNNNNNNNNNNNNNNNNNNNNNNNNNNNNNNNNNNNNNNNNNNNNNNNNNNNNNNNNNNNNNNNNNNNNNNNNNNNNNNNNNNNNNNNNNNNNNNNNNNNNNNNNNNNNNNNNNNNNNNNNNNNNNNNNNNNNNNNNNNNNNNNNNNNNNNNNNNNNNNNNNNNNNNNNNNNNNNNNNNNNNNNNNNNNNNNNNNNNNNNNNNNNNNNNNNNNNNNNNNNNNNNNNNNNNNNNNNNNNNNNNNNNNNNNNNNNNNNNNNNNNNNNNNNNNNNNNNNNNNNNNNNNNNNNNNNNNNNNNNNNNNNNNNNNNNNNNNNNNNNNNNNNNNNNNNNNNNNNNNNNNNNNNNNNNNNNNNNNNNNNNNNNNNNNNNNNNNNNNNNNNNNNNNNNNNNNNNNNNNNNNNNNNNNNNNNNNNNNNNNNNNNNNNNNNNNNNNNNNNNNNNNNNNNNNNNNNNNNNNNNNNNNNNNNNNNNNNNNNNNNNNNNNNNNNNNNNNNNNNNNNNNNNNNNNNNNNNNNNNNNNNNNNNNNNNNNNNNNNNNNNNNNNNNNNNNNNNNNNNNNNNNNNNNNNNNNNNNNNNNNNNNNNNNNNNNNNNNNNNNNNNNNNNNNNNNNNNNNNNNNNNNNNNNNNNNNNNNNNNNNNNNNNNNNNNNNNNNNNNNNNNNNNNNNNNNNNNNNNNNNNNNNNNNNNNNNNNNNNNNNNNNNNNNNNNNNNNNNNNNNNNNNNNNNNNNNNNNNNNNNNNNNNNNNNNNNNNNNNNNNNNNNNNNNNNNNNNNNNNNNNNNNNNNNNNNNNNNNNNNNNNNNNNNNNNNNNNNNNNNNNNNNNNNNNNNNNNNNNNNNNNNNNNNNNNNNNNNNNNNNNNNNNNNNNNNNNNNNNNNNNNNNNNNNNNNNNNNNNNNNNNNNNNNNNNGUUCAUUAGAGAUAUUGGUCUGUAGUUUUCUUUCUUUGAAGUGUCUUUGUCUGGUUUCGGGAUCAGGGUGAUGUUGGCCUCAUAGAAUGAAUUUGGAAGAGCUCCUUCUUUUUCUAUUUCUUGAAAUAACUUGAAAAGUAUUGGUAUUAAUUCUUCUUUGAAGGUUUUGUAAAACUCCGCUGUAUAUCCAUCCGGUCCAGGGCUUUUCUUGGUUGGUAGUCUUUUGAUGGCUUCUUCUAUUUCCUCCUUUGUUAUUGGUCUGUUUAAAUUGUGUGUAUCUUCCUGACUCAAUCUAGGCAAAUCAUAUGACUUAAGAAAUUUAUCGAUGUCUUCACUAUCUUCUAUUUUAUUGGAAUAUAGGGUUUCAAAAUAAUUCCUAAUUAUCUUCUGUAUUUCUGUAGUGUCCGUUGUGAUAUUGCCUUUUUCAUCCCGUAUGUUAGUAAUUUGAGUUCUCUCUCUUCUUCUCUUCGUUAGCAUGGCUAAGGGUCUGUCGAUCUUAUUUAUUUUUUCAAAGAACCAACUUUUAGUUUUGUCAAUUUUUUCAAUAGUUUCUUUUGUUUCAAUUUCGUUGAUUUCCACUCUGAUUUUAAUUAUUUCUUGCCUUCUACUACAUUUGCUGUUGUUUUGCUCUUCCUUUUCUAGAACCCCCACGGAUAACAAAAUUUCAUUUAUUUGUUGUUUUUUUCUUUUUUUGAGGAAUGAACUCCAGGCAAUGAAUUUCCCUCUUAAAACUGCUUUCAUUGUGUCCCAUAGAUUCCGAUAUGUUGUGUCUGUAUUUUCAUUUAUCUCUAAGAAUUUUUUGAUUUCCUCCUUUAUGUCUUCUGUAACCCAUUGAUCAUUCAGUAACAUAUUGUUCAUUUUCCAGGUGAUGCAGGAUUUUUCCUUCCUUCUUUUAUCAUUGAUUUCCAGUUUCAUUCCAUUAUGAUCAGAUAAGAUGCAUGGUAUUAUCUCCACACCUUUAUAUUUACUAAGAGUUGCCCUAUGGCAUAAUAUAUGGUCUAUCUUUGAGAAGGAUCCAUGUGCUGCUGAGAAGAACGUGUAUCCACUUGAUGAUGGUUGAUAUAUUCUAUAUAUGUCAGUUAAGUCUAGNNNNNNNNNNNNNNNNNNNNNNNNNNNNNNNNNNNNNNNNNNNNNNNNNNNNNNNNNNNNNNNNNNGGUGUGUUGAAGUCACCCAUAAUUAUUGUGUUGUGGUCUAUUUGACUCUUGAACUUGAGGAGAGUUUGUUUUAUGAACGUUGCAGCACCAUUGUUUGGUGCAUACAUAUUGAUAAUUGUUAUGUCUUGUUGGUGGAUGGUUCCUUUUAACAGUAUAUAGUGUCCUUCUUUAUCCCUUUUGAUUAACUUAGGUUUGAAGUUGAUUUUAUUCGAUAUGAGUAUGGCCACUCCUGCUUGCUUCUGAGGGCCAUGUGAGUGGUAUGAUUUUUCCCAACCUUUCACCUUCAGCCUGUGUAUGUCUUUUCCUAUCAUAUGAGUCUCCUGAAGGCAGCAUAUUAUUGGAUUUGUUUUCUUAAUCCAGGUUACUAGCCUAUGUCUCUUGAUUGGUGAAUUUAAGCCAUUAAUGUUUAAGGUUACUAUUGAUAUAUGGUUAGUACUACCUGUCAUGCUUAUUUAUUUAUUUAUUUUAAUAUGGCUAGUUUUUCCUUUUUGGUUAUUUUUUUUCUUCCCUUUACUGAGUUAUCUCCCACUGUUGGUUUUGGGUGCUGUUUUUCAAUUCCUCUUCUUGUAGUGUUUUGCUCAAAAUGGCUUGCAGUGCUGGUUUUCUGGCUGUGAAUCCUUUUAACUUUUGUUUAUCAUGAAAUAUUUUAAUUUCAUUGUCAAAUCUGAAGCUUAAUUUUGCUGGAUUCAGUAUUCUUGGUUGGAAUCCAUUAUUUUUCAGCGUUUGAAAUAUGUUGUUCCAGGAUCUUCUCGCUUUCAACGUCUGUGAUGAAAAAUCAGCCAUUAACCUAAUUGGUUUACCGCUGAAUGUAAUCUGCCUCCUUUCUCUCAUAGCUUUUAAUAUUCUCUCCUUGUUCUGUAUGUUGGAUAUCUUCAUAAUUAUGUGUCUUGGAGUUGAUCUAUUAUGGUUUUGUAUGUUUGGGGUCCUAUAGGCUUCCAGGAUUUGGCAAUCCAUUCCAUCUUUCAUAUCUGGGAAGUUUUCUAAGAUUAUUUCAUUCAAUAGAUUGUUCAUUCCUUUGAUUUGAACCUCUACACCUUCUUCUAUCCCAAUGACUCUCAAGUUUGUUUUUUUUAUGACAUCCCAUAUCUCUUGGAUGGAUUGCUCAUGAUUUCUUAGGAUCCUUUCUGUGUUGACUAUAUUCUUUUCAAGUUGAUAAACUUUGUCUUCAUUAUCUGAUGUUCUGACUUCUAUUUGAUCUAGUCUAUUUGUAAUAUUCUCAUUUGAGUUUUUAAUUUGGUUUAUGGUUUCCUGUAUUUCUAGGAUUAGUGUUUGAUUUUAUUUUUAAAUCUCUAUCUCCUGGUAGAACUCAUUCUUUGCCAUUUGAAUUUGCUUAUGUAAUUCAUUUUCAAUGUAUACUUUCAUUGUUUGGACUUGCUGUCUAAUGUCUUCUCUAAGAUUCCGUUCCAUCUGAGUUAGGUAUGCCUUGAGUUCUUUCUCUGUCCAUUUUUCUGAUGCCUCUAGGUUCUCCUGUGAAUUUAAGUUGUACUCCAUUGUUUGUAAUCCUUUUUUCCCUUGUUUUUUCUUGGUGCUCACGUUACUUUCCAACUCUGUUUGACUGCUUUGUUUGUGUUUUCUUCUUUAAAUUUGUUUUGGUUUUUAUAGUUCCAAUAUCUCUCCUGUUCUAUCGCUGCUGCAAUCUGUGAAAACUGGCGAUGAUGACGUCAGCUCUCCAAGAUGGUGGCCGCUGGCUUCCUCGGUGGGCUGUCCAGUGUGGAGGACAGAACUGGACAGCUUCCUUCCCGUCUCAAACCCAGAACUCAGCCUGGAGCACAGUGAGGGCACAGCCGGCAGGAGCCCACAGAAUCUGCAGCACCGUUCCUCUGCGUUGCUGGCUCGCCGUUUCUAGGGAGGCUGUUUCCCGGCGCGCCGCAGUCUCUAGCAGCGGGGCGGGCUGCCGAUCAAACAGCCUGAAUCUCCUGGCAUACGGUUCACUCGUGGUUGAGCCCCAGUAACCGAUCCUCGGGCGAUGGAAAUCCUUCCUCUAGGUUUCGGUGCACCCCAAUUUUGCUGGAAAUUCCUAAUAAGAUAGCUUUUGGCCGUUCUAACUCGUUAUUCACCUGCGCAGUGACGCGGUACACGGGGGUGAUGCACUCUAUUCGCCACCGUCUUCCCCGUUUGUAAUCCUCUUCUAAAAUAUUUUGUCAUUAAUUCUGGUGGACGUCUAAUCAGAAGCACUCAUAGAAUUCAUUCCUAAAAGGGUUUCUCUACAGGCCAAAAGAAAGCAUGUUCCUCUGCACAGCUGUGCGGUUCAUAUAAGGAUGCUUCCUUCUGUCAGGCCCUGGGCACACAGUAGAUGAGUCCUUUGUGACCAUAACAGAAACAUGUUCCCUGGUGUCAGAAAAGUCAGUCCAGAAGAACAUGCCCUUACUUUCUGGCUGGCCUGUAUACUUCACCCUAAUCACUGCUCACAUUGGUCUAAAAACUUGCUUUGGCUCUUCUAAACUGUCACUGCCCUGGUACUUUUUUUUCAUUGAAUUGGAGUCAGGACACCUGGGUCUCAUCUGUGUUCUGCAACUAAUUUACCCUGUAAAUAUGAACAAGUCAUGUCUGUUUCUUCAUUUUAAAAAUGAAGAGCUAUAACAUUCCUUUGGGUCUUAUCCACACCCAACAUUUGGCAGGGAUAUCAGAUCAAGGUCCUUUAUUGUGUUGGCUUCCUGCUACUAUGACAAAAUACCUGAGAGAAUCCACUUAUAUAGAAGAAAGGUUUAUUUUGGCUCACAGAUUCAGAUGUUUCAGUCCAGGAUUUGUUGGCUCCUGUGGUGAGGCAGAAAAUCAAAGGAGGGAGUGCCUGGUGGAGUAAAGCUGCCCCUCUCGAGGAAGCCAGGAAGUGAACAGAGGGAAAGGAGCUAGGGUCCCAAUAUUCUCUUCAAGGCAUGACCCCAAUCAAUGUUUCUUCUACUAAGCCCCAUCUCCUAAAGUUUCUGCCUCCUCCCAAUAGCGCCAUGGGCUAGGGACCAAGCCUCCAGCACAUGGACUCCUGAGGAACAUUCAAGCUACAUCCAACUACAGCACUUAGAAAUGAUUGUGUUCAUUCUUACAACUUCUUAAUGGAAUGAAUAAGUUAUUAAUAAACGUUGCCCAACUUCAGGAAUUCCUUUUGUGAGAUACUAAUAUAUAAUCUCUCUCUCUCUUUCAUUUUUUUCCUGGUCCUUCCUCCCCAGGUGGAGGACUGGAAAAAGAGGACCAGGUCUUAAGUUGAACACAUCUGUGUGUUUAAAAAACCAUCGAUGACACCAUUCAGUUUUAACAGGAUUCCUUUUUUUUCUUCUCUACAAGAGCCGGAAAUUUCCAUAUGAUAGUUCAUUCAUAACUUCUUAGGACAAUCCCACCAAAUCCCUGCAAACCAGUACUAAGAAAGAACACAGAUCUAGGAAUUGGCUACUGUCCCCUGUUUGUAUGAUCAAUGAAUCAAAGAGAAUUCUGGAAGGGGUUAUUAAUUCAAGCUAGGAAAACGGUGACAGAUGACAGACUGCACAAAAAGAGUAUAAAGAGCAAAUUUCCUGUCUGGGAAAGAGCCUUGUUUUAUAGCUGGAAGAGGUCUUAGGAAUCAACUAGCCUUCCACUAUCUUUUUUUGGAUAUGGAAAUUUAACACUAAAAAUAGGCUGACUCACCCAAGGUCAACAAUAUGGUUGGGUCUUAUUUGGGGGAAUUGUGAAAGUGACAAAAAAGAAAAGAUAAUAUUCUAAGACAGUUCAGCAGCCUUUUUCUUAUCUCUCUCUUUUGUUUUAAUAACCUUUAUUUUAUUUUUAUGUGGUGCUAAGGAUUGACCCCAGUGCCUCACUUGUGCUAGGUAAGCGCUCUGCCCCAGCCCAGCAACGUUUUUCUUAAAGGGUCAGACAGUAAGUAUUCUUUUCCCCUAGGAGCUAUGUAGUCUCUGCCAUUGUAGACAUGUAGACAAAUGGACAUGGAUAUGUUCCAAUAAAAAUUUUAUUUACAAAAAAGGUGAUUACAUUAGAAUGGCUAUAAGAUUUUUUUUUUGGAAAGGGAAAAUUUGCAAAAAUGUAGAGAAAAUGGAACCCUCACACAUUGCUGGUGGGAAUGUAAAAUGGUGUAGCCAUUGUGAAAAACAGUUCAGCACAUCCUCAAAAAGUUAAGUAUAAUAUUACAACAUAUCCAGCCAUUCUACUCCUAGGUAUAAGCUAAAAAGAACAGAAAAACAGAUUCAAGCAAGUAUACAUGCAUGUGGGUUUACAACAGCACUAUUCACAAUAGCUAAACGACCCAAACAGGGCAAAUGCCCAUUAAUGAAUAAAUGGGUAAGGAUACUGAAGGCACACUCACCAUGGAAUAUUAUUUAGCUAGCAAAAGGAACUAAGUACUGACAUGACAUAAUGUUGGUGGACAUCCAAACCAUUGUGCCAGGUGAAAGAGGCCAGGAUAGAUAACUCCAAAGAGACAGAAAACAAAUAGGUUGUUGUCAUGGUUGGGGGAAGAAGGGAUGGCAAGACACUGCUUACAGGGUAGAUUUUAGUAUUGAUUAAACAUGGUGAUUGUACAACAUAGUGAAGUACUAAAGACCUCUGAAUUGUUCACUUUACAAUUAUGCUAUGUGAAUACAUAUUCAGUCAGUUACUUUCUUAAAAAGGCAACAAGAUGAAUAUGACCCAUAGACUAUCACAUACCACUUCAUAUUAUAAAAGAGAAUGGAACGGUGCCAUGAAGGUAAAUUUUUAUUGUCAGAUAUGUUUAUUGUUAUCAUAAUCAUUUAUCCCAUCAAGGAAAAGAAUAAAGCAAAUUUUCCAGGUGUAACAGAGCCAAGAAAAUAUUAACAAGUGUGGAGAUGCCUCCAAACCUUAUUGGGAGGGCUAUUAGGAUUUGUCCAGGCUUUGGAAAAAUUUCAGACUCAAUCUAAACCCAUUGAAUCUUCUGGUAAAGACCAAAUUCAGUGUUGAAUGGCUUUUGCUAUUUUUAGAAUCCACCAGACAUCUUCCAUCCCAAUUUUGGGAAUGAAAAUAAAUGUUUGGGUGUUUUCAUCAACUUCCUGCUUCUAAAGAAGAAGAACCUAUAAAAAGUCUCAUGUAAAAUGUUCCAGAAGCUUUUGGGACAUCAAAGAAUUCAGAAGGAACAAGGGAAUUAGUUCAUUGUAAAGGAAUCUGAAGGACACUAGAUAAUUCCAUUUAAUAAACACACAGAAUGACUUUCUCAAAGACAAUUCCAGGGAUUUAAUCAAUUGGGGGUUUAAUGACCCCAGAGCUGUGUCUAAGUUGGAUAUGUAAACACACUGUGAGAAGACUGGAUGCUUACGGAAAGAUGGGAAAUUCUCACGUGAAACUGCACAGCUUGGUCUCACUGCUAUUUUAAAUUAAUUUCAACAGCUAGAAAGCAUGAGGAAAAGUGGUUAUUUUCAAAGGAGAAGGAGGUAUCUCUGUGAUUUGUUUUUUGGGUCCCAGACCAGCUUUCUUAGGUGACAGAUUUGCCACUGGAGAGCUAGCACCCUGAGAUAAAUUUUGUUCAAUGAAUAGCCAUAUUUAAACUUAGAGUAAGGCCCCUUUAGGCUUUAAAAGAAUCACUAGCAAGAGGGGCUGCCUAACAUUGGAAGGGCCCAGUCCUGAGUAAGAACUGUCUUGAGUGACAUGUUGCUCCUAACUCAGAGGCCUAGAGUAUGGGGGUGUGGGGGUGCCCCCUUUUUCUUGUAGGAGCCAGUUCUCUAGGGAAAUACCCAACGGUCAUUGCCAGUUAGCAUCCCAAUCCAAAAUGCUCCAAAAUCUGAAAUGUUUCAAAAUGCAUACUUUUUGAGCACUGAUGUAAGCCCCGAGUGGAAAUUUCUACACCCAACCUACUGUGACAACUUACAGUCAAUGCAGGCACACAGAAAACAAUUUAUUCAGUAUUCCUAAGGGGGGUGGGGAAAGAGGGCUGGGGUUGUGGCUCAGUGGUAGAGCACUUGCCUAGCAAUUGCAAGGCCCUGGGUUCGAUCCUCAACACCACUUAAAAAUAAAUAAAUAUUGUGUCCAACUACAACUAAAAAAUAAAUAUCAAAAAAAUAGACUAUCCUAGAUCUUCCAACUUUGUUACACAAACUGUUUCUCAUGCACAGGAUUAUUAAAAAUACUGCAUUCAAUUACAUUCAAGUUCUGUGUAUAUGGUGUAUAUGGAACAAGUGAAUUUUGUGUUUAAACUUAGGUCCAAUCCCUGAGAUAUCUUUUUAAAAAUGUUUUUAAAAUAUAUGACAGCAGAAUGUAUAACAAUUCUUAUUACAUAUAUAGAGCACAAUUUUUCAUAGAGUUUUAUACAUAGUAUAUUCAAUUUGUGUCUUCAUUACUUUGGAUAGUAAUGAUCAUCACAUUCCACCAUCAUUAAUAACCCCAUGCCCCCUCCCUUCCCCUCCCACCCCGCUGCCCUAUCUAGUGUUCACCUAUUCCUCCCAUGCUCCCCCUCCCCUACCCCACUAUGAGUCAGCCUCCUUAUAUCAAAGAAAACAUUCAGCAUUUGUUUUUUUGGGAUUGGGUAACUUCACUUAGCGUUAUCUUCUAUAACUCCAUCCAUUUACCUGCAAAUGCCAUGAUUUUAUUCUCUUUUAUUGCUGAGUAAUAUUCCAUUGUGUAUAUAUGCCACAUUUUUUUUAAUCCAUUCAUCUAUUGACGGGCAUCUAGGUUCCACAGUUUAGCUAUUGUGAAUUGAUGUGGCUGUGUCCCUGUAGUAUGCUGUUUUUAAGUCCUUUGGGUAUAGACCCAGGAGAGGGAGAGCUGGGUCAAAGGUGGUUCCAUUCCCAAUUUUCCAAGGAAUCUCCAUACUGCUUUCCAUAUUGGCUGCACCAAUUUGCAGUCCCACCAGCAGUGUAUGAGUGUACCUUUUCCCCCACACCCUCGCCAACACUUAUUGUUGUAAAAAAAUGUUCAUCAUCACUAGCAAUUAGAGAAAUGCAAAUCCAAACCACUCUAAGAUUUCAUCUCACUCCUGAGAUAUCUUAUUAUGUUUAUGCAAAUAUUCCAAAAUCAAAAAACAAACAAACAAAAAAAUCCAAAGACUGAAAUAUUUCUGGUCCCAAGCAUUUGGAAUAAAGGAUACUCAACCCAUGUUUACCUUUUAUUAUAAAAUAGUUGAAAUCAAUGGACAUUUAGAUUUAGCCAAAUUUAGCAGUAACAUAACAAUUGUGUUUCUGGGGAACAGAUCAGAAAAGAAUAUUUCUGGGCAGAAGUUUCCUUCUUGAACAUUCACUUUAGAGGGGUGAACCCAAAGGCUGGCGUCACAAGGGCAUACAAACGGUGUCUUUGGAGUUGUGAAAGAGAAACUGAAAGGAGGGUAGACGUCAGGACAUUUGAGGAUAGCUGUUGAUUAUGGAAGAUUCAUUUAGCUCCACCUAUUAGGUUGAAAAAGUUGUUCACUCCCAGGUCAGGAGGAGAGUUAUUUGUGAUUUUUUUUUCAUUACGCUUUGCCAUAUUUUCAAGUUGUAUUACUUUAAUAAUCAUUAAAAAAUCUAAAACAUGCAAAAUCACCACUUUUUUCUGCCUAUAAAUUAUUCUCAUUGAUGCAUCCAAAUUCCCAUUCAAUUUGUCAUCACCACUCUUUUGAAACUGCUUCUUAAAAUAAUGGCAAAAGAAAAAUUCCAAGAAUUACUCUGGCCGCAGGUUUUGGUCAGACUGAUCAAUGUUCUCUGUCCACACAGCUGCGGAGAGCUCCAAGGAUUAGAUGUUCCAAUCGCUCUUGGGUGUGGACAGGUUGCCAUGCUUGGUUUGAUUGAAAGAGACAGUUGGAAUUGUUCUUGGAACUGUUCUGUCCCUGUUUGGAGACAGUCCUUUUGUAUGAUUCCCCUCAUUCUUACAGUAAAACACCACAAAUACUAUGCUCAUUGUUUACAAUCUUAUCUCCUUUAUUUGAUUGUGGAGGAAGAGGAGAAGGAGGGAUUUUGUCUUCCUGUUUCAAUGCUAGUGGAGAAGGAGCAAAUGAAUAGGGACCCCAGGACACGGCAUCUGUGAGAGGGACUUCCCUGAGACCUGGAUAGGAAAGGAGAGGAGUGUUUUUAAAUGUACUAAAUAGAUACAUGUAUUUAAAAAUAUAUUUUAAAUACCAUCUUUACUCCAAUUCAUGUCUCAUGGGAGACCAUGCAGAUGCCACAUGGGGUCCCUCUUCACUCAACUGUAGGUAAAUAUUUGAAGAUUAUCUAUCUUUAAGAUCAUAGGCAUGUACCGUUUUGCACACUUUCUCUGACUUUCAAAACCUACACUUCAUAUUGUUACCAUGAACAUAGGCAUUUGGGGUCAGUAUCCAUGUCUGGAAGAGGAUAGGAAUAUUUUACUAUCACUGCAAGUUGCUGGGCUGGCUUUACUUUUGAGAGCUACAAUAAGGGUCUAAUUACCAAAUGAGACCUCCCACUUAGCCCUUGCUUACAUCUUAGGACAAUGACAGCACACGGUGCUGUUAUAGAUUAUAGGAGGGCAGGGGGUGGGUGCCCCCCAGGCCCUGGGGCAAUCGGUUGUUGGUGUCACCAGCUCAGGCUGAAAGGAGGCUAAAAGCGACACAAUAUCAGAAUAAUCCUGAUCUCUCCUUUUGGAUAUUUACACUUUGUGAUAAUGUUAUUAUUGUCUCAGUGGUUCCAGUUUCAAAUCUUCCACCAGGAAGGACUUGUUCAGGAGUGGGGGUUCCAGUCCUGUCCAGAGCAGCAAGAAUCCUCACCAAUGCAUUCCUAACCCCACACCUCCUGGGCCCCUAUGGACUGAGACACGUCACCCGUCUUUAAUGGAAUGCACUCUUGUAUCCAUUUCCAAGUCCUUGAAAGUAAAGUGUAUAUGAUGGGGACCACUGGAGUUUCCUCAGAGACUGGGUCCAUUUGAAUUCCAUCUCAUGCCUCUGUUCAGAUCUGGGUUUUGCCUAUUUGGAGUCUUGUAUCCUGCAAGGAAAUCACGACUUUGAUAAGCUGCUGGGGUCAUCCAAGGGCUGGAACAGAUGAGCUCUGUUGUAAUCAAGACAGUUUCGGAGGAUCCAACCAUGUGUUUCAGCCUGGCACCCUUGGGGUGGCUCUAUGUUGGCAGGAUCACCAUGUCCAAGCCCUUAGCUUUGCAAGGUCAGAUACUCAGUUUCAAUGGAUCCCCCAGAGAAUCAGGUGUUGAUUCUUAGUAGUUAAACUCACAAAAGACUGAUGUAUAAACCUACCUCCUAAUGUUAGUGAGGAUUCAACGAGAGAGUGGAUAUACAGCUUAUUUGCUUCUGUCUGGCACAUAAGGUAAGUGCCCUGUAAAUGCUGACUUUUAUUUGACACAGUGAGUUGUCAAACAGCAUUUGCAGCACAGAAUAAAUACCAAUAACUCUUUACUCUUAAUGGCACCUUCCUCUACAUUCUGGCAUCCAUACAGAGCAUGGUCUACCAGGCAGUCACCAUGUGAUAAAAUAGGUCACUUAACAAACUGUUGAAGAAUGAAAUCUAAGGAUGCAAUCCUAAGGAUGCAGUUGGCCCACAUUGUGGAGGCAGGCACUCUGGUCACUUUGUCAGCUCAAGAUGUGCUCUUGUCUGCUGACUAUGUUUGGACCAUGUUUAUGAGGAUGCUUGAAGUGCUUGGCUGCAGCAGAUGGCCAAUCGUAGGCAUUUUAUGUUGAUUCUUGUCACCUUUCCCCUGUGAUAUUGACUGAGUAGGUGAGAUUCCCGCUUGUGUGACAUCAACCAGCUGUGGUGGCAGAAGCCCAGUACUUACUAGUAAAUGCUCACUACCUGGAUUUUAGAAAUCGUCAUGGUGCUGGGUUCACAUGUGGGACCAGAGAGUUUGGUGGUAUUCGCUCUCGUACUCAUGAGUCUGGAGAAAUUCUCCAUUCCCAAUUUCUGUAGCGCAUCGAACUUCAGCACCUUCCUUUGCCUCCUGUCUGCUGAGAUAACCAAACAAGCCCUUGGGAAACUGAGCCCUGAUAAACUGAGACAUGAGACUGAUUAUCCUUCAGGGGGAUAUGCAGUAAAGGGCAGGUUGGGAGCACAAAGCUCUGUCCGGGAAGACAACACCUGCCUACAAGGCUGGGGUGGGGAUCAGGAUGCCAGGGUAGCUGGGGGCCAGCAGGAAAGUACAUCAUACCCCUCAGUAGACUGAAGGGAAAUGGGCCCGUUGGAAAGAGGUAGAAAUUAGGGAGGAAGCUGAAGUGGACUCUGUUCUUUACCAGGGCCCCAAGGUAGAUUCUGUCUAUGGAAGAGGUUUAAUCAUGCUCCCUGUCCUGGAAUAAGACAGCUGCAAUGCAUUUGGAAGAAAACGCCAACCAAGACUAGCACGGCUUCACUCCACCCCUCCUUGCUUUCUUUUGGGGAAAUCAGAGCUGAGUGUCUGCAAAUGGUUAGCCUCUGUGGGUGGGAGGAAUUUAUCCUUCUCUUCUGAGCCACAUGGCAAUUUUUCAUCUAGCUGUCUGCAGUAACUGGAUAGAUGGAAGGGUUAUAACUCUUCCACAUCGUCUCGAGAGACACUCAAGAAAUAACAACUUCACUUAGAUUCUGACUUGAAAAGAAAGACACAAAUUUUCUUAAGUUUGAGCCAGGAAAUCCAUUUGCCAUGUUACCAGGGAAGUCCUUUCAUAGUCUGGGUGGAAUUGAUGUUAUCUUUGGAGAAGGGGGUGUGGAAAGGGAUAUAGUGUUGCCAAAGGUGCCCUAUUUCUCUGUCAUUAAACCCACAGAGGCCAUUUGGGUGUCUGUCCCAGGGAGCCAGGUCAAAUCCCCAGUCAGAAUGUGAUGGAGGGGCUGGAGAUGUAAAUCAAUGGUAAAGGGCUUCCCUAGCAAUGUGCAGGGUCCUGGGUUCAAUUCCCAGUCUCAAUCCAUAGACAGCUGGCUCCAUUCCUUGGGGCUCCAGGUGAGGCAGAACAUCAUGGCAGAAGAGUGUGGGAGAGGGAAGCAGCUCACAUGAUGGUCAGAAAGCACACAGAGAAAGGGGGGGGAGGGGGGAGAGAAAGGGGUCUUCAUAUAUAAAAAUAUAUACCCCAAAGCCACACCUCCAAUGCCCACCUCCUCCAGCCACACCCUACCACUCAAUUACCACUCAGUUAAUCCCUAUCAGGGGAUUAACUCACUGAUUGGGUUAAGACUCCUAUAACCCAAUCAUUUCUCCUCUUGCACUAUCUCACACAUGAGCUUUUGGGGGACACCUCAAUCCAAACCAUAACAGGCAGUUACAAGCAUGACCCUGUGGGCGAGGAUGAUGUGGAAGGGUCAGGCUAUACUCUGGAUGAAGGUGGUAUCAGCCUGGGUGGGGCUCUGGUUACCUAAGACCCUUGGGACUCAAGUGUUGUCCUCUGAUCACUCAAAAAGAAGCCCAUGGAAGUAUAGCCCUUGAUCUUCACCCACAGGCAAAGUCCCUUUCAUCAAUUAACUGUAAUGUGGUUUCUGAGCAGUUGUUUCUCAGCUCAAACCCUCCCCACCUGACACACACUGCCAGGGUGCUGAGACCGGAAGUCUGCUCUGUGCUGCAGUCCCCCUUAUCCAAAGCUUCUUCCCUUUCCAUGGCUUUAGUUACCUGAGGUCAACUGGGAUUCAAAAAUUCAGUCUAGUGCAAUAAGAAAUUUUGAGGGAGAGGAGUGCAAGCACAGUCACAUAACUUUUAUUACAGCAUAUUGUAACUGUUUCAGUUUAUUAUAAUCUCUUUCUGUGCCCCUAAUUUAUAAACUAAACUUUAUCAUAUAGGUAUGAAUGUCUCCAACGCAGGUGUUCACAGGGGGUCUUGUAACGUCACCCCCUGGAGGGGACCUACUGUAUUUUCCCCUUUACCAGCGGGUUCCCUGCUGGCUGUGUCUAUAGUGGGAGCUCCAGGGAGACUGGAGGGGAAGUGGGACGGGCCCUUUCCCACAUGGUUGGCUCGGCUGUCAUUGUCCUCACAGCAGUGAUUCUUCACCUUGGCAACAACAGUUGACUUCAGUAGCUGGAAGUUCCUGUUUCCAGUUUCUGCACAAGGGCUGACCUCAGAGAUGCCCGUCUCAGCGCGGCGCCCCUCCAGCUCCAAAUCCCAGUGGCUGCAGCCUCCUCAUGCUCCCCCAGCCCCAGGGUGGUAGCUGCUCCUCAGUUACUAUUCUUUUUGAAUUACUUCAUGCUUUCCCCUCACAUUUUCAGUGUUCCAAAAUCCAAUUAUAAAUGAUUUCUGUUAAUAUAACUAAUAGAAGUGGCUCUUUGAAGAAUUAAAAUCUGGUCUAGGUUCUGGGCUGGAUGCUGUGGUUCCUAAACAACAUGUGUUCUUUCUCUUUGAGGAAAUUCACAUGGAAUAAUUAGCAAACAUUGUAUAGAACUCUAGCUUGCAAAUCAUUCUUUUUUUAAAAAAAAGUUUUAGUUGUAGACACACACACAAUAGCUUUAUUUUAUUUAUUUAUUUUUAUGUAGUGCUGAGGAGCAAAUCCAGUGCCUCACAUGUGCUUGGCAAAUGCUCUACCACUGAGUACAACCCCAGCCCCACAAAUCAUUCUUUUUUUUUAUUAUUUAAAGAGAGAGAGAGAGAGAGAGAGAGAGAGAGAGAGAGAGAGAGAGAAUUUUUUUAAUAUUUAUUUUUUGGUUUUCGGUGAACACAACAUCUUUAUUUUUAUGUGGUGCUGAGGAUCAAACCCAGUGUCCCGUGCAUGCCAGCCUCACAAAUCAUUCUUUUACAUAAAAUUUCACUUAAUCCUUACAUCAACCUUAUAAUAUAUUAUUUCCACUUACAUAUGAAGGAAUACAGCUAAUUCCUGCUAACUAACUUUUGCAAAAUCACAGAACUAACUAGUAAAUAGAGAAUUCCCUAGACUUGACCCCACACCUUUCCCAGUUAGCAAAAAUAAUCAGUGGUUAGGUUAAUUGGAAUCUGAUGUCUCUAUCAUGUUUCACUUUGAAUUAUUCUUCACCAUUUAAAGUGAAAGACACUUUGAGGUACCUCAGACAGUUCACUGACUGUUCUGUCAGCUAAGAGAGAUGGGGACAGGAGACAAUUUGCAAGUCAUCAACAGAUAGUUUAUUGUUUUAGUCAGCUUUUUCCCCAUCUGUUACUAGAAGACCUGACAAGAACAGUUGUAGAGGGGGGAAAGUUUACUUGGGGGCUCACAGUUUCAGAGGUCUCAGUCCAUAGACAGCAGGCUCCAUUCCUUGGGGCUCGAGGUGAGACAGAACAUCGUGGUGGAAGAGUGUGGCAGAGGGAAGCAGCUCACAUGAUGAUUAGAAAGCAGAGAGACUCCACUCUCUAGAAACAAAAUAUAUAUCCCAAAGGCACACCCCCAGGGACCCACUUUCUCCAGUCAUACCCUACCUGCCUUUGGUCACCACUCAAUUAAUCCCAUCAAGAGAUUAAUUCACUGAUUGUGUUAAGACUCUCAUAAGCCAAUCAUUUCUCCUCUGAACCUUCUUGCAUCGUCUCACACAUGAGCUUCUGGGGACACCUCACAUCCAAACCAUAACACUUACAUAUAAGAUUCUCUUAUUUUUCAGUUUCCGUUUGGGUUCUUAAGCACCUCGGGUCCAGGAGUCAGAGGACCAGUGCAUCUGCAGCCCACUCUCUCACUGCUGGGGUCUCCCAGUAGCUUGGAAGUUGGAGGAUGUGGGACGGUACAGAAAUCUGUCCCCAUAGCCUCAGAAGAGGCAGCAAGAAGAGGUGGGGCUGGGCCCAAGGAGUGUGCAUUACGGACACAUCUCCUCCUCUCCCUGCUGUAGCCCAUAGUUGCAGAGUCUGAGUAGAGGGCUAGGAGGGCCUCCCCUUCUUCCAGACCUGGAACGUAAUCUUACGACAUCUUAAAAUGAGGUUAGAUAGUGCUGUAGUUGGAUCUGCAAAGGUGUUCUGCAAAGGUCCAUGUGUUAAAGUCUUGGUUGCCAGCCUGGCACUAGUGGAAGGUGAUGGAACCUUUAAGAAUGGGGGUCUAGUUGGAGUAAAUUAGGCCACUGGGGGACGUUCCCUCAAAGGGGAUGUUGUAACCCUGGCUCCUUUUAUUCUCUUUUUGCUUCCUGAUGACUCUGAGCAGUUUCCCCGGCCAUAUGUUUCUGCCAUGGGCCCAGAGGCCAUGGGGCCAAACAACCAUGUACUGAAGCCUCUGCAGCUCUGAGCCAAAAUAAAUUUUUUCUCCUUGUAAGUUGAUUAUCUCAGGUAUUUUGUUACAGUGAUGGAAAACUGACUAGCACAGGCACCUAGUUGCAUUUAAUGAGUGCAUGUGCUGAAGCCAUGACAUUAUUAAAUGUGAACAAAAUGUAUUGGUAAUAACCCUGUCUUAGGGAUUCUCCUCCUUCCCUGCUUCUCUUUCUCCUUUUCCCAAUUCCCCAUCACUAACCUUAUGAGGCAACCUUUGUUUUAAGUUCAUGUCAGUUUGAUAGGAGUUUCUUUGUGGAGCCUCUAUUGGCGAUAUGGUUGCUAUUUCAAGCCAUUAAAAAUAAGCUGUAUGUGAGUGGUGGAUAAUAUUUUGAGAUAUUGAGGUCCCCCCAGGCUUUCUUGUCCCCAUUAAUCUCCCACCACUAGGGACAUAGAGAUAGGUCUCCAAAUACACUGUCCUCAGGAGAGGAUUGACAAAAGAGACAAAUUAUUGGCUCUGAGUUCUAAAAAAGGGUCUUUCAAUGUACAGCAAGGAGAAAAGUCCCAAAAGGGAAGGCUGUCCACUGUAAGUCCUGGGUUUUCAAAGAGAUGAGAAGGAUUUUAUAUUCUAAAAAUCUGGCCUUGGCGAUAGCCAGGGGUGUGUCUGAGCUGGCAGAUGGUGAACUUCUUCCAAACUCCCUGAUCAGUGACAUCACACGGGGGUUUGCCAUCAAAACCACUGGAAUCGUUUACACCAUGAACACUGGCCAAGGAGAAGCACUUUUUAAACAUUCACUAAUACAUCACAGCUUUUGUCUAUAAAUUGAUUCAAAACAAUAAAUAAUGAUGUAAGAGCCAUUUCUACCCUUGUGUAGAGAAAUAGCCUCUAUUAGAAGAGCACAGGAGAGUUGCUGGACCAGAUGCUUUCUGGGCUGAACUCAUGGGGACUGGGGGGACGGGGACAGUAAAACCCCCAGAUUAGGCUGAAGACAUGAGGACAGAGGGGCUUGUGUGCCCCUUUCCACCUGCAGCCCCGUGAGAAGAUGCAGCUAGCUCUACCAGAGCGCUCCGUGUGAAAUGAGCAGAUAGAACAGCAGGACAGGUAGGGGCUUAGAGAUGCCUGGGAGAGAUGGCUCCCCACCACCCCUUGCUCAAGGCCUGUCUCUCUCCACCCAACGAAGCCAAGGAGUUUACAGACUUCCUGGGUACCACCAAGACUGGCCGAGAUUGACUCAGGCACACGGAGUGCACAGGCCAGUGGGACUGCUGACCUCUUGUCAGGAAUGCAGGGCAAGUGCUACCUGUCAAGACCCCUGGGACCAGAAUAUUACAGAUUAAGACAGCAGACAGGAAACCAAUGAGUGUAGAACAGGAUUCUCUUAAGACCUGGGCCCCCUGCAACUUAGCCAACUUCUGGGAGAAGAUUGACAUUUCCCAUUGCUGGGUAGAAAGGGCAGCUCAAGAGAGAAGGUCAGUUAAAGGAAGAUACAUUUUUUCCCCCAGGAAACUUUUUUUUUUUUUUGUGGCGGGGGCAGUAUUAGGAAUUGAACCCAGCUCCUCACACAUGCUAUGCAAGUGCACUACCACUGAGCUCUACUCCAGGAAAUGUAACACUGCAAAAUUAAAUAGUAAAGCCACUUAUGAACUAUCCUGUGAGUGUGAUUUUGUUGGUUUUUCUUUUUUUGUUGUUGUUGUUUAUUUAUUCACAGUGGCAAACAUGGGAGAACAGAGCAGAGAAGAAAUACUUCCUAAUUUCACUCCUUGACAAUCGUGUGGCAGAGAAGAGCCCGUGAGGGUUGGGGACCACAGCGGUGCUAUAAUUUGCCAUCUAUUGUCUCAAUGAUGAGAUUUAUCCACUCACUGAUGAAUCAAAUAUUGUUUUCAACAAGCCAGCUUUCAAGAACAAUAUUCAUCGUAUGAAAUUAAUGCUCCUCCUUAAAGCAUGAUUGAUUUCUGUGGUUUUUAUAUUCCAAUGCAUUUGUUUUUAUGUUUAUGUGAGGGUUAUAAACAUUCAGGCUUUAUGUCUACUUUAUGUUUGGACUCUUUAA